CCCUUGCUCCUCUGGCUGCUGUUUUCCCUGUGGUUGGCGUACUUGUCAGAUAUUGACAAAUUUUACACUGCAUACUAGUUGACAGCGUGCAAUAGCCCGGCCGAUUCAUUCAUCUUUACACCACCUCACAAUCGACUCAACGGUCAGGUCCCCCCCCCCGCGAUCAGCCCUGAUCAGCGCGGGAUGGCGAGCCACCCAACCACCCCUGCAUUGCGUUGAAACUACUUCUGGUAGCUCAUUAUCUAUGAAGCUGCAGUCAGGCGCCCUGGUCCUUUACCGCGUUACACAAGAGUUUUGUACAAGUGCCUACAUUUGUUUCACAAUAAAAGCUUCCUCUAAAAGAGCAUUUAAUUUUAAAAAAUCUAAAUUUUGUGUAAAAAUAGAAUAUCAUUAGUUUGAUCAAUAAACAGAAGGAAUGAGCAGUUGAUGUCGGUGACUUUUUGGAUCAUUUGCAGUGCUUGCAGAACUUUUACACUUUGUGCUGCCCAAAAUUGUCUUAUUAUUACUCAUUAAGGUGUAAACCUGAUAUCGCUUGAGAUCAAAGUGUCACGGCUGUAGUUCUUAACAGUUGCAUUUGUAUUAAUGAAAUGAGUCACUGUGCCACCUACGCAAAUGCUCACAUUACCUUUUUUAUUUUAUAAAAUGACUAAACUCCCUAAGUGACAUGUGGUUU
ensembl:lncRNA